AUUGAAGAGUUUGAUCAUGGCUCAGAUUGAACGCUGGCGGCAGGCCUAACACAUGCAAGUCGAACGGUAACAGGAAGCAGCUUGCUGCUUCGCUGACGAGUGGCGGACGGGUGAGUAAUGUCUGGGAAACUGCCUGAUGGAGGGGGAUAACUACUGGAAACGGUAGCUAAUACCGCAUAACGUCGCAAGACCAAAGAGGGGGACCUUCGGGCCUCUUGCCAUCGGAUGUGCCCAGAUGGGAUUAGCUAGUAGGUGGGGUAACGGCUCACCUAGGCGACGAUCCCUAGCUGGUCUGAGAGGAUGACCAGCCACACUGGAACUGAGACACGGUCCAGACUCCUACGGGAGGCAGCAGUGGGGAAUAUUGCACAAUGGGCGCAAGCCUGAUGCAGCCAUGCCGCGUGUAUGAAGAAGGCCUUCGGGUUGUAAAG
rnacentral:rRNA from 1 species